GAUGAACGCUAGCGGCAGGCUUAAUACAUGCAAGUCGAGGGGCAGCACGGGUAGCAAUACCUGGUGGCGACCGGCAAACGGGUGCGGAACACGUACGCAACCUACCCAAAACUGAGGAAUAGCCCGGGGAAACCCGGAUUAAUACUUCGUAACAUAUUAGAGUGGCAUCACUUUAUUAUUAUAGCUCCGGCGGUUUUGGAUGGGCGUGCGCCUGAUUAGGUAGUUGGCAGGGUAACGGCCUACCAAGCCUACGAUCAGUAACUGGUGUGAGAGCACGACCAGUCACACGGGCACUGAGACACGGGCCCGACUCCUACGGGAGGCAGCAGUAAGGAAUAAUUGGUCAAUGGACGCAAGUCUGAACCAGCCAUGCCGCGUGAAGGAUGAAGGUCCUCUGGA
rnacentral:rRNA from 1 species